ACACAGGGAGGUAGUGACAAGAAAUAACAAUACAGGGCUAAUGUCUUGUAAUUGGAAUGAUGGUGACCCAAACCCUCACCAGAGUAGCAAUUGGAGGGCAAGUCUGGUGCCAGCAGCCGCGGUAAUUCCAGCUCCAAUAGCGUAUAUUAAACUUGUUGCAGUUAAAAAGCUUCGUAGUUGAACUUUAGCGUGUUCGAGUUUGCCAUUCGUUUGGCCUUUUCGAGUUCGCUUUUGGGUUUUCCCUUUUUACUUUGAGAAAAUUAGAGUGUUUCAAGCAGACUUUUGUCUUGAAUACUUCAGCAUGGAAUAAUAGAGUAGGACUUUG
rnacentral:rRNA from 1 species